rnacentral:lncRNA from 1 species
GCCUGUGUCUGUCCGUUGCAUAGCGUUCUGCUCCCUCUCCACAUACCUGGGGAAAAGCCCUGCAGAGGAAGAGCUGCCUCUCGCAGUGGCCCCGGUACAGAGCUGGAAGUUGGACUGAUUUCCUUUUCUUCCUUCCUUCCUUCCUUCCUUCCUUCCUUCCUUCCUUCCUUCUUUUUCCUUCCUUCCUUCCUUUCUACUGGGGCUUGAACUCAGGGCCUAUACCUUGAGGCACUCCAUCAGCCCUUUUUUGUGAUGGAUUUUUGUUUUUGAAAUAGGGUCUGGAGAACUAUUUGUCCAGGCUGGCUUCGAACCCCAAUCCUCCUGAUCUCUGCCUCCUGAUUAGCUAGGAUUAUAGGUGUGAGCCACUGGCACCCAGCAAUUUUAACCCUGUUUCUAAUUCUUACUGGCCAGAGGGGCUGUAGGACGUCAGGGACACCUGAAGCAGAUUUUGAGGGGACUAAGGAGGCGCUUGCAAGGCCUGGGACACCUCACUUGCGUUGCGAGGGGUGCAGAUGGAGUAGUCAAAGCUGGUGUGGGGAGGAGCAGCCACCUGGCAAAACUCAGAGAUGAGAAAAUGGGGAAAUGAGAGAAGACUGUGGUGGCUGGGGAGACAGACUCAGGACAGCCCACUGGGCCGAGCAGGGUUUUAGGGUCAGGGUAUUCGAAUGUCCUUGAGAAGGAGUGAGAAUUUCUGAUUGCUGUAGGCGACAGUCACACAGUGUGCUGCUGUGCACAGCUGGACACGGGGAUGAGGAUGUGCCAAGACCAGCAAGAGCAGCUGCGGUUGCCCAAGGGGACAGGUGAUGAGGUUGGACUAACACAGCAGCCUUGGAGGAGGUAAGAGGCAGAUGGAUCUGAGGGACAUUGAGGAUGAGACUCCCAGGCCGUGGUGACCCAGAGGUUUGGAGGAAUAGAGAACAGAACUGAAGGGACCCUGUUAAUGGCUUUUGACUUUGGCCAAUGGGCAGAGGGUGGGGCCUUCCAUAAGAGGGGAGACUGAGGCAGAGGGCAGUUUCAGGGGAAGGUGCUGUUUCCUUUGGGGAUAUUGCUUUUCAGAGUGCCUGGAAGCGAUCAGGAGGAAACAUCUGAUACAGACACAAGGUCAGAGGCUGGGACAGAGUGGAUAUGACUGGGCCCAUGGCGUCACAGAAAAUGGAUCCCCAGGGGGAAACCACUGCAGUCCCUUUCCAGAGAGGACA